GUAAAUAUGUAUGAAAUUAAAUUUAGAGGGUGAGCUAAAGGUACUGUCUGUCGGCGUCUUACACUGCAGGAGGUAAAAUUUCCUCCACAGUUCCCUUCUUGGCUUGAAACUCAUUGCUUUCCACUCAGAUUAUUUAAUCCACAAAAUGCACAUCAAAGCCUCCCAUCGGGGGGUGUAUAUCUUUCCAGGCAGUAAAAUGUCAAAGAUCUAACAUAAAGAUUUUUAUAAAAUGUAAAACAUAAUAGAUCCUGGAUAAUAACACAAUGGUGAGACUUGCAUGCUCUUUCUUUGCAGUAAAAUUAUGUCUUAGAAUGUUGAUGGUAAAAUGGAUAAAUAUAAAGAAGAAUUGUGCCGGCUUUAUCACUAGUGUGGCUUCGUUGUUGUGUCGUUCAAUAGGCUUGCCUCGAUGCUGUAUAGAACAUUGUUCUGCAUUGUGCUUAAAGUUUUUAACUUUAAACUCCGUAAAGUAGCAUGACAAAUUAGACUACAACAUAAUUCGUUUUUCUUCUCUGAUUAGCAGAAAAAAAAAGAGACUUGGCAUUAAAU